GGCACUAGAUAAAUGUUUGCUGGAAUUCAGCCCUUGAUUUUCAGCUUAGUGUUGUGAGCAAGUCCAUUUUAUUCAGCGAUGAUCUCUGAGGUGGCUUCACAGUCCGAUUCCUCUAACCCAGCUAGCACCUCUAAUUACAUGUUCAGUUGGUGUUUGUCAAGAAUCAACAUAUCCCUGCCCAUCUCUGUUACCACUCAAGCUGCUGUAUUCCCGGAGCUAUUCUUAGACAUUAAGUGAAAUAAUUGCAGGUUAGGAAGAAGAAGGAAAAAAAGGCUAGAAACUAGCAUAAAAAACAAAGGUCUAAGUUUGAUUUCUGGAUUUGAUUACCUAUUCCCCAAGGAGUUAACAGUACUAUGAAAAUGCAUGUUAGUCUGGGGCUUGUAUAGUAGGGAAGUCCAAAAUAAUUCCAGAUGGACAAAUACAAGCAAAUGGCUGUUACAAGUUUCAUGUUAAACACAUGAAAAGGGACCCGUGUUUUACAGCAUAGAGAUAUUUAUUGAUCAGUAUGUGGUGGACACUGUUUUAAGCAGUGAGAAUCUUCUGUGAACAGGUAGAUGACAUGUCUGCAUUUAUGAAUAUCUGAGUAGGAACAAUGAACAAAUAAUAUAAUUUAAUGUAACAUAUGCAAUGCUGUCAAACAUACAGGAGAAUUUCAAUCUAUCAAAAUGUAAAAAUAAAACAUGAUAGGUGACAGGGCGGCCAAAGUGACUAGGGGUGGGGGUGGGAGAUGGGGAGAGUUGGUCCUCGGAAACACAAAUGUCUGGAUGCUGUACAAAAACCUCUUCAGGAUCUGAAGGCUAAAAAGGAAACAGCCACUUAGACAAAUGCAUUGUCCCAAUAUGUUCAAAAGCCACCUUAGAACAACCGCGCCCAGAAAACAAACAAUUUUGAACCUAAACAACGAUUAGAAAUGUUUGAGUUUAAGGGAAAAUAGCUUUUCCAUUGCACACAAGCAGGGUCUUUCCCAGAGAUGAUCUGUAGUCAGUUGUACUAUCAUGUAACAUACGUGUUUCCAAAAUUACCACUCUAUGCCAAAUGGCAUAAUAAAGCCCAUAAAGCUUAGGGGAAAAGGCUGGGGCACAACACACAAAAACUUUGUCAUAUCUCAGUGUAAUGUGUCUCCGGACACAUUUUUAAAAAGGUACAAACCGAAUAAAAAUGGUAGCAUAGUUUUACACACAAUGAAUAGUUAAGAAAUACACAAAAUGCUUACCUUGAAAAACACUUGAAGUUUGCUUAUGAGAGUGUGCGUUGGAAUGUUUACAGCAUGUGAGUUGUUGUGAAGUGGUAGGAGGGAAGUUACCUGAAAUCUGACGGAAAUGUGCAACACCAGAUACAGAUAAUGUAGCUGUAAUACACAAGGCAAGUGGACGGGGCUGGUAGAUGUUUGAGGGGUGGGUGUGUGCGUGUGCGCGCGUUCUACGUACUUUUACACAGCUGGUUUCAGCUGGGGGCAGUUUUCUGCAUUCAUCUAAUUUUUCUCAUUGACAAAAUCAUGCAUAAGCAAACACAGCAUUUGAAUUAUCCUCAAAUUCUUCCUUAAUAUAUCAAUUACAGUAGAACAAAUUUAUAUUUUCAAAACUGUUUGAUAGCAGAACUGACUAUAAUUUAGGUGGUAGUUUAAAAGUACGGGUGGAGGGAAGAAACCCUACUUGACAGCACAGGAAAAA
ensembl:lncRNA